rnacentral:rRNA from 1 species
CAGCCGUAAACUAUGCGCGUUAGGUGUAUCGGUGACCACGAGUCACCGAGGUGCCGAAGGGAAACCGUGAAACGUGCCGCCUGGGAAGUACGGUCGCAAGGCUGAAACUUAAAGGAAUUGGCGGGGGAGCACCACAACAGGUGGAGCCUGCGGUUUAAUUGGACUCAACGCCGGGAAGCUCACCGGAUAGGACAGCAGAAUGAUUGCCGGGCUGAAGACCCUGCAUGACUAGCUGAGAGGAGGUGCAUGGCGUAG